rnacentral:rRNA from 1 species
UACGGGGGGGGCAAGCGUUGUUCGGAAUUACUGGGCGUAAAGGGCUCGUAGGCGGCCAACUAAGUCGGACGUGAAAUCCCCAGGCUCAACCUGGGAACUGCGUCCGAUACUGGGUGGCUUGAAUCCGGGAGAGGGAUGCGGAAUUCCAGGUGUAGCGGUGAAAUGCGUAGAUAUUAGGAGGAACACCGGUGGCGAAGGCGGUUUUCUGGGCCGACACGUGACGCUG